GGAACAGUAAGAACAUGAGGGAGAAGGAAGUGCUGCUAAUGAAUGAUAAUGAAAUGGAAGAGGCCAAAGUCUAUUACAAGCUCUGAAGUUAAUAAUAAUCUUGUUUUCCAUUUAAUGAGCAUCAGGAGAGUCUUCAGAGUAAAGGAUUCGUUUAUUUAUUUGAGAGAGAGAACAGGAGAAGAGGGGAAGAGGGAGA
rnacentral:lncRNA from 1 species